UGGGGAAUAUUGCACAAUGGAGGGAACUCUGAUGCAGCGACGCCGCGUGAACGAAGAAGGCUUUCGAGUCGUAAAGUUCUUUUAUAUGGGAAGAUAAUGACGGUACCAUAAGAAAAAGCCCCGGCUAACUACGUGCCAGCAGCCGCGGUAAUACGUAGGGGGCUAGCGUUGUCCGGAAUCACUGGGCGUAAAGGGUUCGCAGGCGGAAAUGCAAGUCAGGUGUAAAAGGCAGUAGCUUAACUACUGUAAGCAUUUGAAACUGCAUAUCUUGAGAAGAGUAGAGGUAAGUGGAAUUUUUAGUGUAGCGGUGAAAUGCGUAGAUAUUAAAAAGAAUACCGGUGGCGAAGGCGACUUACUGGGCUCAUUCUGUCGCUGAGGAACGAAAGCGUGGGUAGCAAACAGG
rnacentral:rRNA from 2 species